rnacentral:rRNA from 1 species
GAUGAACGCUGGCGGCGUGCCUAAUACAUGCAAGUCGAGCGAACAGACGAGGAGCUUGCUCCUCUGACGUUAGCGGCGGACGGGUGAGUAACACGUGGAUAACCUACCUUUAAGACUGGGAUAACUUCGGGAAACCGGAGCUAAUACCGGAUAAUAUAUUGAACCGCAUGGUUCAAUAGUGAAAGACGGUUUUGCUGUCACUUAUAGAUGGAUCCGCGCCGCAUUAGCUAGUUGGUAAGGUAACGGCUUACCAAGGCAACGAUGCGUAGCCGACCUGAGAGGGUGAUCGGCCACACUGGAACUGAGACACGGUCCAGACUCCUACGGGAGGCAGCAGUAGGGAAUCUUCCGCAAUGGGCGAAAGCCUGACGGAGCAACGCCGCGUGAGUGAUGAAGGUCUUCGGAUCGUAAAACUCUGUUAGUAGGGAAGAACAAAUGUGAAAGUAACUAUGCACGUCUUGACGGUACCUAAUCAGAAAGCCACGGCUAACUACGUG